rnacentral:rRNA from 1 species
GACGAACGCUGGCGGCGUGCUUAACACAUGCAAGUCGAACGGAAAGGCCCUGCUUUUGUGGGGUGCUCGAGUGGCGAACGGGUGAGUAACACGUGAGUAACCUGCCCUUGACUUUGGGAUAACUUCAGGAAACUGGGGCUAAUACCGGAUAGGAGCUCCUGCUGCAUGGUGGGGGUUGGAAAGUUUCGGCGGUUGGGGAUGGACUCGCGGCUUAUCAGCUUGUUGGUGGGGUAUUGGCUUACCAAGGCUUUGACGGGUAGCCGGCCUGAGAGGGUGACCGGCCACAUUGGGACUGAGAUACGGCCCAGACUCCUACGGGAGGCAGCAGUGGGGAAUAUUGCACAAUGGGCGGAAGCCUGAUGCAGCAACGCCGCGUGCGGGAUGACGGCCUUCGGGUUGUAAACCGCUUUCGCCUGCGACGAAGCGUGAGUGACGGUAAUGGGUAAAGAAGCACCGGCUAACUACGUG